UUUAAUUGUUAUCUUACUUUAAUUAUUUUAAUUUUACUUUGAAGAAAUUCCUAUAUUUUUAGUAUUUAAUAAAACAAAUUUUUCGUUAGUAAUAGUUAAUUUGUACCGUGAGGGAGUGUUGAAAUAAUAUGAAAUUAUUUAUUUUGUAAAAGUAUAUUUUAUUUAUAUUACCUUUUGUAUCAGGGUUAAUUAAUUUAAUUAAAUUUAUUUUUAUUUCUCGAUUUUAAAAGAGCUAGUAAUUUAUAUUAGUUAGUGUAACAUAAUUAUUAAUAAUAUUUACUUGAAGAGAUAUUCUAUUCGUUUUUAAGGGUAUCUAGUUUUUUAAGAAAUAAAUUAAAUUUAUUAUUCAAUUUUAUAUAUUUAUUUCUUUAAAUAUUUAUGUUUUGAAUUUAACUAUAGUAGGGGAUAAUCUUUACUUUUAUUUAAAACCUAUUUUUAUAAAAUUUUUGUAGGGUUAUAAUCAUCCGUCAAAUGUAUUACGUUAUAGUAAAUAUUUAUAUUUUAUGAUUUUCUUAGGUUUAAAUUAUUUAUUAAAAUAUUUUAAUUAAUAUUAAAUUAUAAGUAAUUAUGAUUAAAUUAGUAUAUAAUUUUGUUUUAUAAUUAUUUUAUUUUAUUUUAAAAUAAGGAAUUCGGCAAAUAUAAUGUUCGCCUGUUUAUCAAAAACAUGUCUUCUCGUUUAUUUGGGAAGUCUGACCUGCCCAGUGAAAAUUAUUUUAACGGCCGCGGUAUUUUGACCGUGCAAAGGUAGCAUAAUCAUUAGUCUUUUAAUAGGAGGCUGGAAUGAAAGGUUUGACGAAACAUUAACUGUCUCAUUUUGAUAUAUUAAAAUUUAAUUUUUAAGUGAAAAAGCUUAAAUUUUAUUGGAAGACGAGAAGACCCUAUAGAGCUUUAUAAUUUACUUGAUUAAUAUUUUUAGUCUAUUAUUUAAUAUUAUUUUAAAAAUUAUUUUGUUGGGGUGACAAGAAAUAUAAAUUUAACUUUUCUUAUUUAUAAAACAUUUAUUUAUGAUUAUUAGAUCCAUUAUUAGUGAUUAUUAGAUUAAGUUACCUUAGGGAUAACAGCGUAAUCUUCUUUCAGAGUUCAAAUUUACAAGAAGGCUUGCGACCUCGAUGUUGGAUUAAGAUAAUAAAUAGGUGUAGUAGCUUAUUUUAUAGGUCUGUUCGACCUUUAAAUUCUUACAUGAUCUGAGUUCAGACCGGUUUAAGCCAGGUCGGUUUCUAUCUCCAAUUUUCUAACAAUUUUUAGUACGAAAGGACCAUUUUUGUAAAAUAAUUUUUAUGCAUUGAUUUAUAUUA
rnacentral:rRNA from 1 species